rnacentral:lncRNA from 10 species
AGAGCCCCCUCUCGGCUGCUGGCCCGGGCUCGCCCGCGCCGCUGGGGGCUCUGACUCCUGCCGAGCCGGGCCUGGGCAGCGCCCCCCGCGCCCCGCGAGCCCGCGCCCCCGUCACCGGGAAACGCCGUAGCCGGCGAUCCGCGGUCGCCCUGGGCUCGGCGCCGGCCCAGCCAGGACCCCGGGAGCGCACGGGACGGGCCUCGACAGUCACACUCCAGCGCCCCCACGAGCCAGCACAGUGCCUGCUCUCAGUGAAAGGCCACUGUUCUCCUUGGGUGACCCCCAUGAUGCCUGACCGCUCCUCGUGCCUCCUGGAACAGCCAGGGUCCUUAUGAAGUGGUGACCACUCCAGUCAGCAGGGGUGGAAAAUGGUACCAGUCAAACCCGAGGCGGAGGAGGAGCAGCCCGCAGUCGCUGCCGCGAGAUGGAGGAGCCCACGCCCGAGCCCGUCUAUGUCGACGUAGACAAAGGGCUGACCUUGGCCUGCUUCGUCUUCCUCUGCCUCUUCCUUGUCGUGAUGAUCAUCCGCUGUGCCAAGGUCAUCAUGGACCCUUACAGCGCCAUCCCCACAUCCACCUGGGAGGAGCAGCACCUGGACGACUGAGGCACAGCGGCUGUGGGGACUGGACCUGGCGCUCUGUGGGUGGCUGUGCCCCAGGAUGCAUCCGUGUGUUCCCUGCCAGCCUGCCAUCCCACAGAGGCAAGGAAUGAAUCUGGCCACCCAGGGAAACAGAAGGUGCAGCUUAGCCCUCUCAGCCCUCCCUCGAGCACCAGCGUGGAAUGCCCGGGUGCCGUGGGUGUCGCAACCAUGGACCAGCCAGGGGAAAAGAGCCCUGGACCAGGACCCAGGAGGCUGGGGUUCCAGUGUGGGGAGUCCCUGUGAGAUGAUAGGGUAGUCACCUUCCCAGGUUCCUGGGCACCUUUUGGAACUGGAUCCAGCAACAGACACCCCCCAUCCAUCACAUAACAGUGGUCUUGUCUUGAGGAGACUCUCGGUCCUUUAAAUGCAAAGUAGCAAUGGAGGCUCCCAACCAAGAGGUCCCACCUGAACCCCAGCCCCCUCCCCAUGGACUAGCAGUGGUGUGGCAGUGAGGGGGGAAAGCGGGUUGAGGGAGUCUCACCUGAAAAUUCACAAAACGCACAGGAUAUGGGCUGCUUCCAAGCAGUAUUUUUUUAAACUAAAAUAUAGAGGGAUAUAUUUUUCCUGUUAUAAAUAAAAUGUACAUUUUAGAAACUUGGGAAAAUGCAGAUAAAUAGAAAGAAAGGGGGAGGAAAUAACACUUAUAAUCCCACCUCCCGGAAACCACCAUUUUGAUAUAUUUUCUUCCAGCCUUUUUACUUGUAUUUUUUAGUCAAAUUCAUACUCUGUGCAUGAUGUUGUAUCGCCUCAUAUGAUAGCAGGAAUACUUCCCCAUUACAUCAAACACUCUUCUUAGCUGCCAGUUUUAGUGACCGAAGGGCAUCCCAUCGGUUGGGUAGGUCAUGGUUAAAAAAUCAUCUCCUUUGGUUGCAUAUUUAAUUAUUUUCCACUAUUUUUUCCUCACACAAAAUGAUUUCGCCCGGUACCCUUUUUGGGGGUGCACAGUCCAUGAGAUGAAUAUUGAAUGGGGAGACCUGGGUUCUAGUCUCGCAUUUACCAGUCAGGUUACAAUGCGACCUUGAGCAAGUCACUUCACCUCCCAGCGCCUCAGUUUCCUCAUUGUAAGAUAGGAAAAGCCUUGUCAUUUUUAAAAUUUUAUUUUUUGCAUAUACCUCAUGUGAACGAAAGGACAGAAAGGGGAGUGAAUAUACUAUGAAUGUGCUAUAGUCGGAGUUGGGGGGCAAGGAAGAAGUCAUCGAUGAUGGCUCUUCUCAGGCCCUCCCUCCUCCCACCUCUUUCUGCCCUCCACCCCACUCCCACUCCAUCACCUACAUCUAUGACCUUGCAGCAAAAUCAUUAGAGCAGAGCCUACAAAACCGGCCCCAAGUCCCAAUUCCUCUACUUCCUUGUUAGAGGACCCCAAAUAACUCACUCAGCCUCUCUGAGCCCCAAUUUCCUCACCUGUAAAGUGAGGGAAUAACAUCUACCUCGCAAGGUUGUUGUGAGGACGAAAUGAGAGAACAUGGGCAAACAUGAAUGUUCUUGAAUUCACCACCCCAGGAGAAGCCAGGGGUCUGAGCUGGGAGGAGCAGAGGUUCUGGGUGCCCCCUGCCCCUACAGAGCCUGGCACCUUCAGCUUUUCUCAACUUCUGAGGGCUGCUUCCUACAGGCCAAAUCUCCCAGCCGGAACCACUUGGUCAGAGGAACACUCACAGCAGCCUUUCCCAGCACCUGACCUCAAGGGAUAUGGCGUCUACCAAUUUACAUAAUUGCCUUUGUCAUCAGUUUUCCCAUAACAUGGUACGAAGUUAAAUGAGAGCACCUGAGCUCCCCUUCCUCUGAGUGCAUUUAUUCCAUCCCUCCAAGCUGUGGCCUUCCAUCCCCAUCCAAGAGACCUGCAGCUGUGAAGAAGCUCAAGACUUCUUUCUCAUUGCCUGCCUCCCAGCCAUUAGUCCCCACCACAGCCCAGGCCACCUGGAAAAUGGGUUCCAAAGCACUAUCACUACUAGGUGACCCCUGAAUGUGGACAAGGCCACAGCUCUUCAGGCAGCAUUUCAGGGGCUAUCCAGUUGUCAUCCCUCUCAUACCCCUCUCCUACCCACCCCUAUCCCCACUAUUGUGGAAUGCACGAAGGGACAGCUGGCAAAGGCAGUGAACCAAGAUGCAGGGAAGGCCCUGUAUGAUGGGGAGGAUCUAAAGCAAAAGCCUUUUGUGCAUUGCCUCAGGUUCAGCAGCAGCAGCCCUCACUCUGAAGCCUACCUUGAGAAGCCAGGCAUUUCUGUGAAAAGCUCAUCAGCAUGCAUUUACAAUGCAAACUAGAACCAACUCCCAGUCAGCUAAUAACAGACCCCAGGAAAAAGAAAAGGUCUUCCAGACCUCCCCGACACACUUUAGAACCCUCAGGGGUGAAAAAGAGGGUGCUCCAGGGCAGUGCAACUUAAACUGUGGUUGAAGGACAAACAGCCUCUGCAAUACUUGAGGAGCUUGUUAGAAACCCAAACUCACAGCCCCCUCCAGACCUACGUACAGAAUGUAUAUUAGCAAGAUUCGCUAGGUGGUUUAUGUGCACGUUAAAGUUUAAGAAGCACUGCCUGAGAAUCCCUUGGUCCUAAUUAAUUCUUUUCCACACUCAGAUUUGCUAAUGGGUUUCACCUUAUCUCUUGACUCUUGUUUGAUGGCAACAGGAAAUAGUAGCAUUUCAGGAAGGGUGGAAAAUAUAAAAAGCACUCCCAACCCAAGCCUCCAAAAAACAGCAAUUUUCAUUUUGUGUCCAUAUAUUCCCUUCUAAUCAUUGUCCUCAUGCAAGAUUUUUUUUCAUAAAGAUGAUCUGCUACAUAAUUUUAUAUCAUACUCUUUCUCCUAACAUUACAUCACAAGUAUACUUUCAUGUUGCUGCUACAUUCUUCACACUUGUCAUUUUAAUGGCCAUAAAACAUGACAUCUAGUGCACAUAUAUAAUUAUGUAGACUCCUAUUAUUAAAUAUUUGGAUUUCUUCCAUUUUCCCUGUUGUACAUGUUCCAAGCAAAAAAAGAAAGAUCAAGAUAGAUAUGAUGAAGCCGGGGAGCUUGCUUAAGACAGGGGAGAAUAAAUACUUACAGUACACUCUCUCCAUUUAAGAGACACAUGGAGCACAUGGGGGAGGGAGACCUGUCUAAGAACUGGAUCAUAUUAAGGAGAAAAAAGCAACUGGAAUCUCAGGCUUCAGUUGUUGCAUUAUGCUGCUGAAGCAUAGAGGAGAUGGUCCUUUGUGAUCAGAGCGUCUCAACUCGUUUCUGGCAAGCUAAGAUGAACUUUGGGGUUGUGGAUAGAAAGAUAAACUGAUCUGCAAAAGAAAUGCACAGAAGUAUUGAAGGCUAGAAGUUGGCAGACAAGAAAUGAAAAGCAUUUAGAGAAUGGGAGGCCUGUGAAGGUAGCCACAACCCAGGACUUAAGGAGAACACAGGCUGGAGAGGAACUCUCCAAAGCAGAGAAUGGGUGGUGGGUUUUCCAGGCAAUGGUGCCUAGUGGCCAGUUUUAAGUUGUUGCUUGUACUGUGCUCAGCUACACUCCCUUCAUGUUGCCCCAAGCCCUCUCUAAAGUCUGAUAAAUGAUCCACCACUCUGCAGCAGUGGUCUUUGGGACAAUGAAGACACCUCGGUGGUGGGUCACUUAGGGAAAUACAAUCUGGAAGGGGCCAACAGUCCCAGAGACAAGUGGGGUAGCAGAAAUAUGCAGAACCAAGAGUUCAGAGUGAUGGUCACUAGAAGAAAUGUGGCCUCUAAGGAUGCUCAGACAGGUGGAUAUGUAUAGUAGGACCCUAGCUUUACCAUCCUGGCAUAUCAUUCCCAUCAUAGCUAUUUCAUUUUUUUCCAAUUAGUUGCUGAAAUGUCUACAUGUUCUUAUCGAGUUGAAAGAUCAGUGUCUCCCUGUCUCAUUAAAUUUCCAGAACUUCAGAGGCUAAAUCAAUCCAAAAGGGGCUGGCCCUGCUUUCAAACACCAAGUGAAGAGAACUACAAAGUUUGGUGUGUCCACUAGUGUGGUUUCAUACCCCCUAGGUCUUGCUGUUGAGGACUGGUUCUGCCAGGCAUGAUCAAUGACCACCCACAAUGUCCUGUGGCCCAGCCUGUGGAGAGGUGCCCAAACAGAGUUAUCUGGGUCCACAUCCAUGUGCCCAGCUAUUCUGUCCAAUCAUAGCACAAAGACAGGUUGCCUGUGUCCAGAGGGACACACAGCCUCAGGCACACCAGCCCUUACUUAUGAGCUUGAUGGUCAUCAGCAAAGACUCUCUCCCUUUAGGAGGGUUCUCCUUGGGACUUUUCAGUGUCUUGGCAGGAAAGAGAUGGCACACACGAAGCACUGAUUGAAGACAGUUUAAUGAAAGAAUAUUUACAGAGGUUGGGCAAGGGUAUGGAAAACAACAGGGAACAGUAAAACACCCAGGGAUGACAAGGCAAGGUAGCUCAUGUCUGUAAUCUCAGCACUUUGGGAGGCCAACACAGGCAGAUUGCUUGAGCCCAGGAGUUUGAAACCAGCCUGGCAACAUAAGCAAGAAUCUGUUUAUCUACAAAAAAUAAAAUAAUUAAAAAAAAAUUACCUGGCUGUGGUGUUGCACACCUAUAGUCCCAGCUACUCAGGAGUCUGAGGUGGGAGGAUCACUUGAGUCCAGGAGUUUGAGGUUACAAUGAGCUAGGAUCACACUACUGCACUCCAGCCUAGGCGACAAAGAGAGAUGCUGUCUCUAAAAAUAAAAAACAAAAACAAACUACCCAGGAACAGGCAGGCCACCAACUGUUACCAUCUCUUGCCUAGAGAGACAAGGAGAAGGAUCUAGAACCCAGGGAGAGCUAUAGCCAUGGAGAAGGAGUCACCCAAUGGAAGCCCUGGCCACAGCUAGAGGAUCAAAACUCCUGCACCCACUGCAGCUCAGUAGGAAGAGAGCUGGGGGAAUAAAUACCUUGACCUCUUGCCUCCUGCCCUCCAAUCUCCUGUCUGGGUCUUCCAUUGGCCAAAAACAACAGAAGCUAAAGGUCAGGGGACCCUGGGUGAUACGGUCCACAUAGGCAGCACACUGGAGCAAAAGAAGAAAAACCAGCACAAUUCAUCUUAUUACCACUUAGCAGCCAUUCACAAACUUUGCUUAGAUGGGAGAAAAAUAUUUUGUCCCCGGCACAGGGGAAACAUAAAAUCUCACCAGCAGCCAUAUUGUCUGGGGGUGAUAGCAAUUUAGUCCCACUCCCUCCUGCAACUUAAAUCAUAAUGUAGCCAGUCCCGGGUAAGUGGAACACUUCCUGUAAAGCACAACUGCUAGUGCCCCCUUCUGUGGCUGGUCAUGAGGCCCAGAGUGGUAACUGCAGUCUUGUUCUCCCACCACCCAUUCCAUAGCCCCUCUACUUUCUGGCAGUCCCUUAGCUGUUGGAGAAUUUUAUCUGGUGGAAUGACCCAAAUCUUCAUCCACAGAGGAUUCAAAUUCUUAGUGCCGUGUCUUCAAUGAGUUGCCACAGUAUCCACAGAUUCCUAAAGAACAUGAAGAGGCCUUGAAGAUCUCACCUGGAAGCUCUGUAAAAUUAUCAGAAAGAAUAGCAGGUGCUCUAGGGCAACACUACUCAAACUAUGGUCCACGGAUGGACAGCAUUGGCAUCUCUGGGGAGCUUGUUAGAAAUCUAAUUUCAUGCCCCCACCUCAGGCUUACAGAAUGAGGACAAGGGAUACAGGGAGUACCAAGUGCCCUAGCGAAUCCCAGGGUUCCAAAGCUAGUACUCCUUGCCCCUAUUGUGUAGCAGAAACCCCACUUUCCCUUGGAUAUUGGGGUUAACCAUCCUGACAGUGCAGUGAUCUCUUUCUCUGCCAAUAUUUCAACAUAAGGAGCCCCAGAUGGCACAAGAUCAUCUUCCAAUUUAACAGACCCAUAACUAUAUUCCCUGGUGGAAGCAGUUCCUCUUGGUCACUAGAGAUUUCCAAACCCACAAAACCUAAGGUUUCUUGGUUAAAGGCCAUGUUUGUGGGAUAUGCUGAGAUGAAUAUGCUGUGGUUUGAAUGUGUCCCCCAAAGUUCAUAUGUUGGAAACUUGAUUCCCAUUGCAACAGUGUUGAGAUCUGGGGCCCAAUGAGAGGUGAUUAGGCCAUGAGGGCGGAGUGAAUGGAUUAAUGCAGUUAUCUCAAGAGUGGGUUUGUUAUGAAGGGGGUGUUUGGUCCUCUUUUCUCUCUUGCCCAUGUGAUUCCUUCCACCAUGUUUAUGAUGCAACAAGAAGGUCCUCACCAGAUGCUGGUUCCUUGAUCUUGUAUUUUGCAGCCUCCAAAAUCGUGAGCCAAAUAAAUUUCUAUUCAUUAUAAAUUACCCAGUUUGUGUUGUUCUGUUUUAGCAGCACAAAAUGAAAGAAUGAAACACCACAAAUGGCAGGGAGGGGCAGGAAUGGCAAAUCCAUAUCUGGAAUAUGUGUCUAUUCCUACUGCCCUCUAUGAUGAAAGGGAUUCAGUGUAAUCAACCUGCUACCAAGUAAGCGGUUGGUCUGUCUCCUACCACCCAUCUCUGGGAAUGGUGCCAUAUCAGGGGCUUGGCAUUGGUCUCAUUCAUUGGAAGGCUACAUAUCCAGAAGUUAUGGAAACCAAUGGACCUUCACAAGGGAAAGCCCAUAGUGUUGAUAGCCUCUAUCCCUUCCACUAUGGUCACUCUGUUCAUGAUGUCAUUGAGCAAACACCAGAGUAGACAGAGGAAGAGGCUCACACCCCCAGGUUGGGUCAUCUUAUCC